UAGCUGCCAAGAGGCAACCGGGGACAUG
rnacentral:sRNA from 1 species